rnacentral:rRNA from 1 species
GGGUUGUGAGGUUAAGCGACUAAGCGUACACGGUGGAUGCCCUGGCAGUCAGAGGCGAUGAAGGACGUGCUAAUCUGCGAUAAGCGUCGGUAAGGUGAUAUGAACCGUUAUAACCGGCGAUUUCCGAAUGGGGAAACCCAGUGUGUUUCGACACACUAUCAUUAACUGAAUCCAUAGGUUAAUGAGGCGAACCGGGGGAACUGAAACAUCUAAGUACCCCGAGGAAAAGAAAUCAACCGAGAUUCCCCCAGUAGCGGCGAGCGAACGGGGAGCAGCCCAGAGCCUGAAUCAGUGUGUGUGUUAGUGGAAGCGUCUGGAAAGGCGCGCGAUACAGGGUGACAGCCCCGUACACAAAAAUGCACAUACUGUGAGCUCGAUGAGUAGGGCGGGACACGUGGUAUCCUGUCUGAAUAUGGGGGGACCAUCCUCCAAGGCUAAAUACUCCUGACUGACCGAUAGUGAACCAGUACCGUGAGGGAAAGGCGAAAAGAACCCCGGCGAGGGGAGUGAAAAAGAACCUGAAACCGUGUACGUACAAGCAGUGGGAGCACGCUUCGGCGUGUGACUGCGUACCUUUUGUAUAAUGGGUCAGCGACUUAUAUUCUGUAGCAAGGUUAACCGAAUAGGGGAGCCGAAGGGAAACCGAGUCUUAACUGGGCGUUAAGUUGCAGGGUAUAGACCCGAAACCCGGUGAUCUAGCCAUGGGCAGGUUGAAGGUUGGGUAACACUAACUGGAGGACCGAACCGACUAAUGUUGAAAAAUUAGCGGAUGACUUGUGGCUGGGGGUGAAAGGCCAAUCAAACCGGGAGAUAGCUGGUUCUCCCCGAAAGCUAUUUAGGUAGCGCCUCGUGAAUUCAUCUCCGGGGG